UGGUUGUGAUGUUCCCUGCCUAGAAAUGGAGUUCUGGAGCGGAGUGUGGAAACAAACAGCAACAACAGGCUUUAAUGAAAGCAGGCCAUGACAAAGAAAAACAGGAAGUUUAAAAUGAAGGCACACUCUCUUCUUUGCAAAGGCUCAGUUAACACCAGCGAGUCACAGAAACAGAGAAGGGAAGAAGUCAGUUUUGCCAUGGAAGGAGGAGGUAGAAACCAGGCCAUCAAGGAAUCAGAUCAGACACCAGACCAGGGAAAUAUCAGCACUUCACAGGAACAGCUCCUGGUGUUCAGAAGUUUAUUUCUAUGCAGCUGUCUGCUAAGGGACUAUAACCUACUCACCAGGUAUUCCAAGAACUAUCUCAAAAUGAGUUUUCCAGUUGUGCAUCAGAUAGCAGUAUUUGUUGCUUGCCAUGCACAGCCUCUUCUCUGAAAAAUCCAUUUUGAAUUGAGCUAAUGGCCAUUCACCUGUGAAAAGAAAUACAGCACAGAGCAAUGCUAGAAUUGAUCGGACCAUGGGGUAUCAUCACAACCUGCAUAACAAUAAACCAAAAUGUUCAACAAGCAGCACGACUUAAAAUCUGACCUACAUUCACCACAACUUGGAAGAAAAAAUCUGGGACUGUACAAUCUGAUUUUG
rnacentral:lncRNA from 12 species